UACGUAGGGUGCGAGCGUUGUCCGGAAUUACUGGGCGUAAAGCGCACGUAGGCGGCUUCUUAAGUCGGUGGUGAAAUCCUGGAGCUCAACUCCAGAACUGCCUUCGAUACUGGGAAGCUCGAGUUCGGGAGAGGGAAGCGGAAUUCCGGGUGUAGCGGUGAAAUGCGUAGAUAUCCGGAGGAACACCGGUGGCGAAGGCGGCUUCCUGGACCGACACUGACGCUGAGGCGCGAAAGCUAGGGGAGCAAACGGG
rnacentral:rRNA from 1 species